UAUGGCGGCCAUAGCGGAGGGGCUACACCCGUUCCCAUUCCGAACACGGAAGUUAAGCCCUCCAGCGAUCCCGGUUGUACUGCGGUGCGGGAGCCCGUGGGAAGCCGGGGACGCCGCCAGCC
rnacentral:rRNA from 1 species